CCUACGGGAGGCAGCAGUGGGGGAUAUUGCACAAUGGGGGAAACCCUGAUGCAGCGACGCCGCGUGUGGGAAGACGGUCUUCUGGAUUGUAAACCACUGUCCCCAGGGACGAAACUGACGGUACCUGGGGAGGACGCUCCGGCUAACUACGUGCCAGCAGCCGCGGUAAUACGUAGGGAGCAAGCGUUGUCCGGAAUUACUGGGUGUAAAGGGAGCGUAGGCGGGGAUGCAAGUUGGGUGUCAAAACUACCGGCUCAACCGAUAGUCGCACUCAAAACUGCAACUCUUGAGUGAAGUAGAGGCAGGCGGAAUUCCUAGUGUAGCGGUGAAAUGCGUAGAUAUUAGGAGGAACACCAGUGGCGAAGGCGGCCUGCUGGGCUUUGACUGACGCUGAGGCUCGAAAGUGUGGGGAGCAAACAGGAUUAGAUACCCGAGUAGUC
rnacentral:rRNA from 1 species